GACCUUGAUAACGCCAUGUUCGAUUUGAGACAUGACUGUUUGUUUGUGGCUGCCAAUGUGGUUCUAAUUCCUCAGCAUGGUACCAAACAAAAAUAAUUUCGUUUGCCUCGCAACUUUUCCAAGUUUUCGUUCUGGCAACGUGUGGCACUGAAAUCAGGCAACAAUUAAUCGAAUAAAGCUGUAAAUUGAGUCACCUUUGUCAGCAUAUGGAAUGUAAUCGCACUGUCCAUCGGAACCACGAAAUUGCCAACCAUGAAAGGGACAUUCUAAACAAUCACCCUUUACACGACCACCUUCUGCCAUAUUUGCACCCAAAUGAGGGCAAUUAAGAAAUGCAUAGACAUAUAUUUCAUUUUGAAAUGAAAACUUUGAAUUGAAACAUAUCACGUUUCCCUUUUAAGAAUGGAAAGAAUCGCUGAUACGAUGAAAAAGAAUUCUUCUAGUUUUACAACGUCACACGCAAAGAGAAAUCUGCCUCCUCAUUUGUAAACAUAAUGUCACCGUG